rnacentral:rRNA from 1 species
UACGUAGGUGGCAAACGUUGUUCGGAAUUACUGGGCGUAAAGCGCGUGUAGGCGGCCCUGCAAGUCGGGUGUGAAAUCCCACGGCUCAACCGUGGAAGUGCACUCGAAACUGCAGGGCUAGAGUCCUGGAGAGGAAGGUGGAAUGCUUGGUGUAGAGGUGAAAUUCGUAGAUAUCAAGCGGAACACCGGUGGCGAAGGCGGCCUUCUGGACAGUGACUGACGCUGAGACGCGAAAGCGUGGGGAGCAAACAGG